rnacentral:rRNA from 1 species
AGAGUUUGAUCCUGGCUCAGAAUCAACGCUGGCGGCGUGCCUAACACAUGCAAGUCGCACGAGAAAGCGGGGGCAACCCUGCAAGUAAAGUGGCAGACGGGUGAGUAACACGUGAACAACCUGCCCUCGAGUGGGGAAUAACCCCGCGAAAGCGGGGCUAAUACCGCAUAACAUCUUCGGGUCGCAUGGCCUGGAGAUCAAGGGCUUCGGUCGCUUGAGGAGGGGUUCGCGGCUGAUUAGCUAGUUGGCGGGGUAACGGCCCACCAAGGCAACGAUCAGUAGCCGGCCUGAGAGGGCGAACGGCCACACUGGAACUGAGACACGGUCCAGACUCCUACGGGAGGCAUCAGUGGGGAAUUUUGCGCAAUGGGCGAAAGCCUGACGCAGCAACGCCGCGUGGAGGAUGAAGGUCUUCGGAUCGUAAACUCCUGUCAGUGGGGACGAAAGCUCCGCAAGGGGUCUGACUGUACCCGCUGAGGAAGCCACGGCUAACUCCGUGCCAGCAGCCGCGGUAAUACGGAGGUGGCAAGCGUUGUUCGGAAUUACUGGGCGUAAAGGGCGCGUAGGCGGCAUGGCAAGUCAGAUGUGAAAGCCCCGGGCUUAACUCGGGAAUUGCAUCUGAAACUGCUUUGCUUGAGUCCCGGAGGGGGUAGUGGAAUUCCCAGUGUAGCGGUGAAAUGCGUAGAUAUUGGGAGGAACACCUGUGGCGAAGGCGGCUACCUGGACGGUGACUGACGCUGAGGCGCGAAAGCUAGGGGAGCAAACGGGAUUAGAUACCCCGGUAGUCCUAGCCGUAAACGAUGAGCACUUGGUGUCGGGGGUAUUGAGUCCCCCGGUGCCGGAGUAAACACGUUAAGUGCUCCGCCUGGGGAGUACGGUCGCAAGACUGAAACUCAAAGGAAUUGACGGA